GUUGUCCACUUUGGCAGCACAUAUACUAAAAUUGGAAUAAUACAGAGAAGACUAGCAUGGUCCCUGCACAAGGAUUACAUGCAAAUUCGUGUAGUCCAUAUUUUU
rnacentral:snRNA from 1 species